rnacentral:tRNA from 1 species
UGGCUCAGUGGUAGAGUGCUUGCCUUGCAUGCAUGAGGCCCUGGGUUCGAUUCUCAG